rnacentral:rRNA from 1 species
CGGGGCUUAAAGUCUUGUAAUUGGAAUGAUGGGAAUUUAAACCUCUUCCAGAGUAUCAAUUGGAGGGCAAGUCUGGUGCCAGCAGCCGCGGUAAUUCCAGCUCCAAUAGCGUAUAUUAAAAUUGUUGCAGUUAAAAAGCUCGUAGUUGAAUUUCUGCCGCAUUGCUUGUGUCCCUCUGGGGUCUGUGCAUGUGGCUUUUUUCGGACGGAGUUUCUUUGUCUGAAUGUUUACUUUGAGAAAAUUAGAGUGCUCAAAGCAGGCUUUCGCCUUGAAUAGUUUAGCAUGGAAUAAUAAAGUAGGACUUUGGUUCUAUUUUGUUGGUUUUAGGUACCAAAGUAAUGGUUAAUAGGAACAGUUGGGGGCAUUCGUAUUUAACUGUCAGAGGUGAAAUUCUUAGAUUUGUUAAAGACGAACUACUGCGAAAGCAUUUGCCAAGGAUGUUUUCAUUAAUCAAGAAC